AAAAGAAAGAGGUUACUGAUUUCUCUACAUUCGUCUAGUCCUUACAACUCUGAGCCUUCUAACUGCUUUCCAAAACAAAUAAAGAAACUGGAGCAGAAAAUCAGUCACAUUAAAUUUACCACCAUUCAAAAAGCCAAGGCACUGAAAAUGCUUGGAUAUCAUACAGAUAGUUUCAUUAUCUUCUUUUUAGAGGCACUCUGAAUGUGAAUUGCAUCUGAGUCAGUCUAUCCUUCCAGGAAUUGAAUUAGUUUUCCUCACACUCUCAGAGGAGGCAAUGCAUAACACAAGUUACA
rnacentral:lncRNA from 1 species